UACGAAGGGGGCUAGCGUUGCUCGGAAUCACUGGGCGUAAAGCGCACGUAGGCGGGUCCUUAAGUCGGGGGUGAAAUCCUGGAGCUCAACUCCAGAACUGCCUUCGAUACUGGGGAUCUCGAGUCCGGGAGAGGUGAGUGGAACUCCGAGUGUAGAGGUGAAAUUCGUAGAUAUUCGGAAGAACACCAGUGGCGAAGGCGACUCACUGGACAUGUAUUGACGCUGAGGUGCGAAAGCGUGGGGAGCAAACAGG
rnacentral:rRNA from 1 species